CAGUAGCCACGGUAAUACAGAGGGUGCGAGCGUUAAUCGGAUUUACUGGGCGUAAAGCGUGCGUAGGCGGCUUCUUAAGUCGGAUGUGAAAUCCCUGAGCUUAACUUAGGAAUUGCAUUCGAUACUGGGAAGCUAGAGUAUGGGAGAGGAUGGUAGAAUUCCAGGUGUAGCGGUGAAAUGCGUAGAGAUCUGGAGGAAUACCGAUGGCGAAGGCAGCCAUCUGGCCUAAUACUGACGCUCAUGCACGAAAGCGUGGGGAGCAAACAGGAUUAGAUACCCCUGUAGUCCCUGUCUCUUAUAC
rnacentral:rRNA from 1 species